rnacentral:lncRNA from 1 species
UGCAGAUGAGGCUCAGGGAUGAGCCUCAGGCUUCAAAAUCCUGCUUCCAGUAGUCCCUGAGCAGAAGAGAGCUGUGUUCCCUCUGCCCCUUCCCAGAAAUCCAUAAUUGGUAUUACGUUUUAUUAGUAGGAGGAAAAUGGAAUGGAACAGCCUUGAAACUACACUCUUUUUUCUUGUUCUGCCUCCCACAGCUCUAAAGAAAGGAUGGCAGUCCCCUUCUUGGUCCGUUAGGACCUAUUUUGUCUUCCCCUACUCAGUCUCGGCCCAAUAUGGCGCCUGGUGCAGGGGGGUUGGUUCCUGGAGCAGGAGAGAGGAAGGAACUUGGUAGCAGCAACGUCGCUCACCUGAGGAACAGCAGAAGAAAGUGGAGACAAUAUAUAGAUUGGAGUCACAGAGGCUCUGACUCUAUCAGUCUCAGUUUCCUUAUGUACGAAAUAGGUGAGUUCCACAGAAUAAACCCAACAGAAAUCAAGAGACCGGGCACUGAGUACCACAGAACAUGGAGUACUCACACAGGCUCAGCUCCAGGCCAGCACUGGCUGCCUUCUCGUUUCCUGACACUUCCCAUUUCCUUCUUCCUUUUUCACUCCCCACAGG